AUUAUUAAUUAUGUUGAUAACGUCAAAACGUAUACAAAUUGCCUCUAUAUUGUCAAAUCUUCUUAUUUGCAAACUGGUUUUCGUUGAAAAUCUAACGGUACUUUCCAAAAAUACAAUUAAAAGUAAAUUUUCAAAACGCACUUUAAAUUGGUCUGGUAAAUGUUUAGGUUAACAAAUUAAAAUUAAUUUUAAUGGAUUUUGAAUUUAAAGAAAUCGUUUCCACCAAUACUCCAAUACCAAUAUGAUUGGCUGAAUGUAAAGGAGCAAAUUGUAUUGCAAGCCAUCGAAAAUACAUCUUGUCGGUGUCGCCCAAAGGUUUAUUCUGCGGAGAACAAAGCACCUGACCAAAAUUGAUUAGUCCGCUAUUUCUGCUUUGCCCAAUGUACCUCGAAUGCGAACCUUUUUCGCAGCAAAUCCCAAUUAAUAAUUUCACUCAUAGUGGAUACCACCUUAUAUUGCUUAUAAGAAACUUCGUGAAUAGCAAAAUAUACUUUGAUUUAUUUCUAAGCUAUCAAAGUAUAUUUAAAAGAAAUACCCAGAGAAUAUUUCUGCAAACGAAUCUCAUGCUGAAGUCCAUCUGCAAAGUUUAUUAGACAAUACAGCAUAGAGCUAAAAUGCUGCUAAAUGUAAAAGCAAGAAGUGAACAGAGAAUAUUUCGAAUUUUGUUUAUCCCCACUUCAUGCUAGAAUACGCUUCUCUGAAUACUUUUUAUAUCUUUCGUAUAAGUCUGUCUUCAAAAUGUGGCAAGCUAAAGCUCCAGAGCAAAAAUUACAAGUUUUGAAACAAAAGCAGAAAAUCCAAGCGGCAUUUCGUAAAAGAAUCGGAAUAAUAGUAGACAAGCACAGAGACGGAGGUAGAGGAUCGUCCAACGAUGGUAAGUGGCUCGAAAGGCAAAGUUAAUUUGGACAAAUUUAAUGAAUAUCCCUGGAUACUGCUAAAGCUUGGAAAGAAGAAUAAGUUAACGUUACUUCUUAUUAGAGUAAACAUAUUUUAUAUUUAAAAAAAUUUUAAAUGGAUAUACCGAUCAUCUUUUAAUAAAUUAUUUAUAUAUACAAUUUUUUAGUAUUUUUAUAUAAUCGAAUUUUUCUAUUUUUUAAUACAUAAAAGCAAAUUCUGAACUAUUUUUCCCCCAGCCCGGAGUUCUCGAAGGGUCCGUAUUUUCCAAAAAAUUAAGGAACAUUUUCUCGCUUUUGUAUUGAAGGUUGUCAUGAAAAGACAAGAGAUGCUAUUGCUGCUUUAAUUUGCAUAACAUUGAAAAAUUACAACCAUCCUUUGGAAGAUUGCCGUGGAUAGGGCUACGAUAAUGGUAGUAAUAUGAACGGUAAAUAUGAAGUAGCGCAAAAUCACAUCCAACGAAAACAUAAGUAUACAAUGCUACCAUCGACGCUGAAGUUAGAAAUAUAGAAAGACUUCUUAUGGAUUUCCAAUUUCUGCGCGACCAGUGGAAAGAAAUUUAUAAUGAAUGCAAGAUUAUUGCAGAGAAUUUAGAGCAUGUCGAGACGAUGUUUCCAUCAACAAAAAAGGUACGGAAACGUCCUACAUGAAAAAGUGAAUGAAAACUGCAAUAAAGAAUAAAUUUAAUUCAAAAGUUGUACAAUGUCUCUAUACCCGUAUUUACUCUCGGCGGCCUGUCAGUACGACGGACUUUCAAAGUAACGAGUUUUCGGUUUGACAAACCAUCAAAAUUAUAUUUUUUGACGUUUUUAUAUAACGAAUGCAAAGUUAGGUUAAAUAUGAAGAAGCAAUAAAUUUGUUUAAAAAAAUAUGUACAGUAUCAAACAAUUUUGAACUGUCAAAGCUUUUGGAACUAAUGCAUUUCCAAGAAAUCGCAAUACAAAUAAUUAGAUGUACAACAUAAGAUUCGUUAUAUUGGACGACAACUUUAUGUGUUUACCUUAGCUGUGGCAAUUGUUAAAUAAGUAUUUUGAUUUGAAUUCUAAGAAAAUGGUAUUUGUUCUUCUCUUCUUAAAUAAUUAGUACUAGAAACUCAAAUAGGUUCAAGUGUGAGUUGGUUUCCCCAAGCAGUAAAGGUAAAUAUUCAGUUAAAUUUAAAAAUUAAAAUUGGUAGUUGUAAUAUCUACGGUUUGUAACAUUAUUGCAGGCGACUUUAAAAAUUGUUUUUUUUUUUAAAUAUCCAGCUUUUAAUUAUGGUUUGCCGCAAUAGUAUUAAGUAAACAAACUAAAUUGCUAAAUUAAUUUUUCCUGUAAGCAGUU